rfam:Chlorocebus sabaeus isolate 1994-021 chromosome 20, whole genome shotgun sequence.
GUUAAGGUGACAGUCUGGAUUUGUGUCAAACUUAGGCAUUUGUAAUUAGAGGUUCAAAUCCUCUUCUUACCA